rnacentral:rRNA from 1 species
AUUGAACGCUGGCGGCAGGCCUAACACAUGCAAGUCGAGCGAGCGGCGGACGGGUGAGUAAUGUAUGGGGAUCUGCCCGAUAGAGGGGGAUAACUACUGGAAACGGUGGCUAAUACCGCAUACCAUGGGUUGAGCCCAUAGGGGAUUAGCUAGUAGGUGGGGAAAAGGCUAACCUAGGCGACGAUCCCUAGCUGGUCUGAGAGGAUGAGCAGCCACACUGGGACUGAGACCCGGCCCAGACUCCUACGGUAGGCAGCAGUGGGGAAUAUUGCACAAUGGGCGCAAGCCUGAUGCAGCCAUGCCGCGUGUAUGAAGAAGGCCUUAGGGUUGUAAAGUACUUUCAGCGGGGAGGCGUUACCCGCAGAAGAAGCACCGGCUAACUCCGUGCCAGCAGCCGCGGUAAUUC